UACGGAGGGGGCUAGCGUUGUUCGGAAUUACUGGGCGUAAAGCGCGCGUAGGCGGCUUUGUAAGUUAGAGGUGAAAGCCCGGAGCUCAACUCCGGAAUUGCCUUUAAGACUGCAUCGCUAGAAUCAUGGAGAGGUUAGUGGAAUUCCGAGUGUAGAGGUGAAAUUCGUAGAUAUUUCGGAAAGAACACCCAGUGGCGAAGGCGACUAACUGGACUGUAUU
rnacentral:rRNA from 1 species